GGCCUGGUAGCUCUGGUGGUGAGAGCGUUUACUACGCCCAAGAAUUUACUUUGCCGUCGUGGGUUCGAAUCCCACUGAGGCCA
rfam:Schistocephalus solidus strain NST_G2 genome assembly, scaffold: SSLN_contig0008922